GCUGCCCUCUUUGGCAGCACAUACACUAAAAUUGGAAUGAUACAGAGAAAAGUUGCAUGACCCAUGUUCAAGGAUAACACCCAAAUUUGUCAAGUGUUCCACAUUUUU
rnacentral:snRNA from 1 species